GUAGGGAAUAUUGGGCAAUGGAUGCAAGUCUGACCCAGCCAUCCCGCGUGCCGGAAGAAGGCCCUCAGGGUUGUAAACGGCUUUUGACGGUGAAGAAUCGACAGGAUGCGUCCUGUUUUGACGGUAGCCGUUGAAUAAGCACCGGCUAACUCCGUGCCAGUAGCCGCGGUAAUACGGAGGGUGCGAGCGUUGUCCGGAUUUAUUGGGUUUAAAGGGUGCGUAGGCUGGAAGGUCAGUCAGCGGUGAAAAGCUGUCGCUUAACGAUAGUCUUGCCGCAGAUACUUCCUUUCUUGGAUGAGGAGGAGGCCACUGGAACGGAUGGUGUAGCGGUGAAAUGCAUAGAUAUCAUCCAGAACACCGAUUGCGAAGGCAGGUGGCUGUACCUUAAUCGACGCUGAUGCACGAAAGCAUGGGGAGCAAACAGGAUUAGAAACCCCUGUAGUCC
rnacentral:rRNA from 1 species